UCCUUCUUAGCUCAAUUGGUAGAGCAUGUCAGGGAUUUCGAUGAAUUCGAUCAGUUCUAUUAAUGACGAGGUUGGUCGUUCAAAUCGGCCAGAAGGGA